rnacentral:rRNA from 1 species
AUUGAACGCUGGCGGCAUGCCUUACACAUGCAAGUCGAACGGCAUCGCGGGAACGCUUGCUUUCCUGGCGGCGAGUGGCGAACGGGUGAGUAACACAUCGGAACGUACCGGCUAGUGGGGGAUAACCCGUCGAAAGACGGGCUAAUACCGCAUACGCUCUUCGGAGGAAAGCAGGGGACCUUUGGGCCUUGCGCUAGCCGAGCGGCCGAUGUCCGAUUAGCUAGUUGGUGGGGUAAAGGCCUACCAAGGCGACGAUCGGUAGCGGGUCUGAGAGGACGAUCCGCCACACUGGGACUGAGACACGGCCCAGACUCCUACGGGAGGCAGCAGUGGGGAAUCUUGGACAAAGGGGGCAACCCUGAUCCAGCAAUGCCGCGUGGGUGAAGAAGGCCUUCGGGUUGUAAAGCCCUUUCGGCAGGGAAGAAAUCGGCGGGGCGAAUAACCCUGCUGGAUGACGGUACCUGCAGAAGAAGCACCGGCUAACUACGUG